GCUUUAUAUUAUUAGCUAGAUCUAGCUGAAAUAAAUAAAUUAAAGGUUUUAGCAAGCUUAUUAUAUUCUAUUGGGGAGGUAUAAGUAUAAUUUAAAAUGUAAUUGCUUAUAGAUGAAUACAUUAGAUAGUUGGUUAAGAUUUUAAUGAUCCUUUAAAUAAAGAAUUAAGACUAAGUU
rnacentral:rRNA from 1 species